rnacentral:rRNA from 1 species
UACGGGAGGCAGCAGUAGGGAAUCUUCCGCAAUGGACGAAAGUCUGACGGAGCAACGCCGCGUGAGUGAUGAAGGCUUUCGGGUCGUAAAACUCUGUUGUUAGGGAAGAACAAGUGCUAGUUGAAUAAGCUGGCACCUUGACGGUACCUAACCAGAAAGCCACGGCUAACUACGUGCCAGCAGCCGCGGUAAUACGUAGGUGGCAAGCGUUAUCCGGAAUUAUUGGGCGUAAAGCGCGCGCAGGUGGUUUCUUAAGUCUGAUGUGAAAGCCCACGGCUCAACCGUGGAGGGUCAUUGGAAACUGGGAGACUUGAGUGCAGAAGAGGAAAGUGGAAUUCCAUGUGUAGCGGUGAAAUGCGUAGAGAUAUGGAGGAACACCAGUGGCGAAGGCGACUUUCUGGUCUGUAACUGACACUGAGGCGCGAAAGCGUGGGGAGCAAACAGGAUUAGAUACCCUGGUAGUCCACGCCGUAAACGAUGAGUGCUAAGUGUUAGAGGGUUUCCGCCCUUUAGUGCUGAAG